UCCUCUUGGCCCUCAGGAGCUCCUGUCAGCUCUGGGGGCCCCUUUUGCGGGGCUCCUGGGCAGGUGCUGUCGGCUGUGCAUGCACUUCCAGCCCAGAGCACCUGCCGCCUGUCCGGGGAUCCCCAGAAUAGCAGAGCACACAGGACAGAGUGCAGAGGAGUGGGGCUGACAGCCUCCGAGUGGGGCCCCCAUGUGUACUUCCCACAAAUGUGAGUCAGCGCGUCAUCCAGCAGGGCUCCUUCCCCUGCAGCUGCCUCCAGCUCAGCUUUACUGUUUCCCUCACAGCCAUUUAGAACAAUUUCCCCUGCUUCUGUGCAGCCCUCUACUCAGAGUGCAGUGAGGGCGAAAGCUUGGUUAACCACAGAAUGCAGCCGUAGAACACUGUCCCUCCCGCGUCAGAACGCACAGCCUGUUGUCCUGCCAUAGAUCUCCUCUCCUCCUCCUGCCGUGGCUCCUACCUUCCCGCUCUGGUUCCCUGUGCCAACCACUCAAGGGCCCUCCUGGCAGGGGAACCAUGUGUCCUUCAUCCUGUAUCUGCCUCGUGGUGCUGAGCCUGGCAUCCUCUGGGAUCAUCCGAGCUGUUACAUGGGAUGAAUGGAUAAAAAUAUACUCAUUAAUGAAGAAAUAUUCCUUGGAAGCCUGGGGGUGCUACUGCUUUUAGCAGAAAUGAAAAAACAAGAAUCCCAAAUUCCAAAAUGCUCAACAAGUGAAAGACAGUGGACCGAGCCUGCAUUCAGCAUCAUCAGACCCAGAUCCCAUGAGCCCAGAGGCACCGUACCCCAGAUUUGCAGUGGCUCUCACUCCGCGUUUGGCUGAAUGUAGCAGGGCCACAUGGACGGAUGGCAAGGGGGAAGCAACCGAAUUAUGCUGCUGCUGCAAAAUCACUUCAUGAGCUACACAACCUGCUCCUAAUUUAUUUUCCUGUCGCCUGUCCUUGCAGACCAGACGCUCAAAGCUAAAGUUGUUUUUAUUAAAGUUAAGGCUUUGUUAGAACACCUGUCGUUGGGUGGUCAGUGUGGGGCUUUCCCCUUGGGCACGAAGGCUCACCUCCCUCAGAGGGAAGCCUCAGAGUGGCUGUGCCUGCAUUUGCAGACUCAGUUUCUCCAGACUCCAAGCCCCCAUAUAGGAUUGAGUCUGCCUGGCUUAUUUUGAAUGCCCAACGUCAAGUCCGCGUGAAGCCCUGAAGACCCAGUGAUGCAGGACCUUGUCUGACUCUUUUUGCCUCAAACACUCUCAUGCAUCGUUACAUGAGUGUGCCUGCUGUGCCCUUAACAACCUCAGCCGGUAUUUCCUUGGUUCAUCCUCUCAGCUCACAGGUAUUGCUCUGCACCUAAGACCCAAUUUUUUUUUUUUUUUUACAAACUAUGCCUUUGGGUGUAUUCCCCGUUUUCUA